CCUACGGGAGGCAGCAGUGAGGAAUAUUGGUCAAUGGACGAGAGUCUGAACCAGCCAAGUAGCGUGAAGGAUGACUGCCCUAUGGGUUGUAAACUUCUUUUAUAUGGGAAUAAAACGUUCCACGUGUGGGAUUUUGUAUGUACCAUAUGAAUAAGGAUUGGCUAACUCCGUGCCAGCAGCCGCGGUAAUACGGAGGAUCCGAGCGUUAUCCGGAUUUAUUGGGUUUAAAGGGAGCGUAGGUGGAUUGUUAAGUCAGUUGUGAAAGUUUGCGGCUCAACCGUAAAAUUGCAGUUGAAACUGGCAGUCUUGAGUACAGUAGAGGUGGGCGGAAUUCGGGGUGUAGCGGUGAAAUGCUUAGAUAUCACGAAGAACUCCGAUUGCGAAGGCAGUUCACUGGACUGCAACUGACACUGAGGCUCGAAAGUGUGGGUAUCAAACAGGAUUAGAUACCCCAGUAGUC
rnacentral:rRNA from 1 species